UACAGAGGGUGCAAGCGUUAAUCGGAAUUACUGGGCGUAAAGCGUGCGUAGACGGUUAUGUAAGUCAGAUGUGAAAGCCCCGGGCUCAACCUGGGAAUUGCGAUGAAGACUGCAUGGCUAGGAUGCGGAAGAGGGAAGCGGAAUUUCCCGGUGUAGCGGUGAAAUGCGUAGAUAUCGGGAGGAACACCAGUGGCGAAGGCGACUUCCUGGCCUGUUCUUGACGCUGAGGCGCGAAAGCUAGGGUAGCAA
rnacentral:rRNA from 1 species